CAAGUACUCCCUCCGUUCCAAAUUACUUGUCUCAGAAAUGGAUGAAUCUAAAACUAAAAUACAUCUAGAUACAUCCAUACUUGCGACAAGUAAUUCGGAACGGAGGGAGUAAAUU
rnacentral:pre_miRNA from 1 species